CCUAGAGUUGUAGGCUUUGCCUGCUAUCUCUUACCCAUGUCUUUUGAGUACCUUCGUUUCCUCGGCGGGUCCGCCCGCCGAUUGGACAAUUUAAACCAUUUGCAGUUGCAAUCAGCGUCUGGAAAAACUUAAUAGUUA
rnacentral:misc_RNA from 1 species